UACGUAGGGCGCAAGCGUUGUCCGGAAUUAUUGGGCGUAAAGAGCUCGUAGGCGGCCUGUUGCGUCCGCUGUGAAAUCCCGGGGCUCAACCCCGGGCCUGCAGUGGAUACGGGCUGGCUGGAGGCAGGCAGGGGGAGGACGGAAUUCCUGGUGUAGCGGUGAAAUGCGCAGAUAUCAGGAGGAACACCGGUGGCGAAGGCGGGUCUCUGGGCCGAUACUGACGCUGAGGAGCGAAAGCGUGGGGAGCGAACAGG
rnacentral:rRNA from 1 species